rnacentral:rRNA from 1 species
GUUCCUACGGGAGGCAGCAGUGGGGAAUAUUGCACAAUGGGGGAAACCCUGAUGCAGCGACGCCGCGUGAGUGAAGAAGUAUUUCGGUAUGUAAAGCUUUAUCAGCAGGGAAGAAAAAAGACGGUACCUGACUAAGAAGCCCCGGCUAACUACGUGACAGCAGCCGCGGUAAUACGUAGGGGGCAAGCGUUAUCCGGAUUUACUGGGUGUAAAGGGAGCGUAGACGGCGCGGCAAGUCUGAAGUGAGAGGCAGGGG